AACGAACGCUGGCGGCGUGCCUAACACAUGCAAGUCGAGCGCGAAAAGGGCAACCUGAGUAGAGCGGCGCACGGGUGCGUAACACGUGGGUAAUCUGCCUUAGAGUCGAGGAUAACCUUCCGAAAGGUUGGCUAAUACUCGGUAAGCUUACGGUGUCUUCGGACGCUGUGGGAAAAGUAGGCCUCUGUUUACAAGCUUACGCUCUGAGAUGAGCCCGCGGCCAAUCAGCUAGUUUGCGGUGUAACGGAUAACCAAGGCAACGACGGGUAGCUGGUCUGAGAGGACGAUCAGCCACACUGGAACUGAGACACGGUCCAGACUCCUACGGGAGGCAGCAGUGGGGAAUUUUCCACAAUGGGCGAAAGCCUGAUGGAGCAACGCCGCGUGUGUGAUGAAGGUUUUCGGAUCGUAAAGCACUUACGACUGGGACGAAAAACCUUUGGCUAACAUCCAGGGGCCUGACGGUACCAGGAGAAGAAGCACCGGCUAACUCUGUGCCAGCAGCCGCCGUAAAAC
rnacentral:rRNA from 1 species